rnacentral:rRNA from 1 species
GAGUGAACGCUGGCGGUAGGCCUAACCCAUGCAAGUCGAACGGCAGCACAGUAAGAGCUUGCUCUUACGGGUGGCGAGUGGCGGACGGGUGAGGAAUACAUCGGAAUCUACUUUUUCGUGGGGGAUAACGUAGGGAAACUUACGCUAAUACCGCAUACGACCUACGGGUGAAAGCAGGGGAUCUUCGGACCUUGCGCGAUUGAAUGAGCCGAUGUCGGACUAGCUAGUUGGCGGGGUAAAGGCCCACCAAGGCGACGAUCCGUAGCUGGUCUGAGAGGAUGAUCAGCCACACUGGAACUGAGACACGGUCCAGACUCCUACGGGAGGCAGCAGUGGGGAAUAUUGGACAAUGGGCGCAAGCCUGAUCCAGCCAUACCGCGUGGGUGAAGAAGGCCUUCGGGUUGUAAAGCCCUUUUGUUGGGAAAGAAAAGCAGCAGGUUAAUACCCCGCUGUUCUGACGGUACCCAAAGAAUAAGCACCGGCUAACUUCGUG